AUACCAAGAUGUAAUAUAGUUUUUACACAUAAUGCAACUCAAAAAGCAAAUAAACAUUAUUUACAAAUAUUAAGUGCGCGUACUCGUGACGUCAUUAUUGAUACGUCAUACGACACAAUGCAUGUUGUUUCACGCUAAAGAUGCAGUUGUUUAGUGUCUUUUUUUCAUUAUUUCUUAAAAAUCGGGGACGUAGAGGUAUGAUAAACGAAAAACAGGAGUUACUGCAAACCAGGCACAUAUCAGAACUUCAAGGGUCAUUCGAGAGGAAUAUUCUGUUUCAACAAGCAGGCUGAGGAGUUUCAUAGCCACAGAUAUACCCUGAGAGGUCUCAUAGCCACAGAUA